UGAAGAACACUCAAUUUAAAGAAAUAUUCCAAGAUUGGAUUCAAAUGGGCUCAUCUGAUAAGAAGAAACAAGAGGAAACUAAGAACAGAACAUAAAGCCAACAUUUUCAAUUUCAAGCAAAGCUUCUAACUUUCUAUAAGGAGACCAAAGUUUUUGUAACAUCUGAACAAAGCCAAAGCUAAAAGGACAAGAACAAACCUAAGAAUCAGACAGGUCCUGUCUCCAAAGACGUAACAUUUUAAAGAACACAACAUAAAGCCACAACAGUUUCAGUUUCAAGCAAAGCUUGGAACUUUCUAAAAGGAAACCAAACUUUUUGUAACAUCUGAACAAAUAUAAAGCUAAAGACAUGAUCAAACCUAAAGAAACAGACAGAUCUUGUCUCCAAAGACGUAACAUUUUAAAGAACAGAACAUAAAGCUAACAUUCUCAAUUUCAAGCAACGAUUGGAACUUUCUAAAAAGAGACCAAACUUUUUUUUGUAACCUCUGAACAAAGCUAAAGCUAAAGACAUGAUCAAACCUAAAGAAUCAGACACACACUGUCUCCAAAGACGUAACAUUUAAAAGAACAGAACAUAAAGCCAACACUUUCAAUUUCAAGCAAAGGCUGCAAAGCCUCCAACUUUCUAUAAGGAAACCAAUUUUUUUUUGUAGCAUCUGAACAAAGCUAAAGCUAAAGACAAGAUCAAACCUACGAUUCAGACAGAUCCUGUCUCCAAAGACGGAACUUAAAAAAAAAACAGAACAUAAAAGCCAACAUUUUCAAUUUCAAGCAAAGCUUCAAACUUUCUAAAAGGAAACCACACUUUUUUUUUGUAACAUCUGAACAAAGCUAAAAGCUAAAGACAAGAUCAAACUUAAGAAUCAGACAGAUCAUGUCUCGGAAUACGUUAACUUUUUAAA
rnacentral:lncRNA from 1 species